rnacentral:lncRNA from 1 species
AAUAUAUCUUAAGUUUUCAGUUUUGAUCCCGUUUGGUCACUGAAAAUUGUACCGAACUGUAAUCUUUAUCAGAUAACUAUCGGAUUUUAUUUCUCACUCUACGGGUGUCAGAAAAAUAUGAAACCUUAAAUCUAGCCUCAUAAAAAUAUUUCUGACUUAUCCUCCAAUUUUCAUAAUUUUUUGAGACUGUGCAUUUUCUGCUAAUUUAUCGGUUCCGUUUCCAACAGAAAAUUCUAAAUCUUCUGUUUUCAUUCCGAUUUUAGCACAAGUCAUUUCUGACUUAUGUUUUACUUCUCUAAAUCCAAUAAAAAUAGCUUCUCACACUAUUUUUAUUUAUUUUUAUUUUUAUACCAAAAUCUGGUAUGUUACAGAAAGGGAAGGUUUCUCUCUCCCUCUCCAUGCGUGUGUGUUGGUGUGUGUGUGUUGCUCGGUUGAAGGAGAAGAAGAAGAAGACAACUCCUUUAUAUAGUCAACACCCCAAAACACUAUUACAACCAACGGUUUAGCUUUCAGAAUCUGAUACUUUUCGCCGGAGCCCUUCUGCAUAUCCAUUUGCACUCAAAUUUGAUAGUCAGGCUCGGUUUUCCUUAAUAAGAAAGAAAAUAUCUUAAGUUUUCAGUUUCGACCAUUUUUGGUCAUCGAAAGCUCUAUCGAACUAAAAUCUCUAUCAGAUAGCAGUUGGAUUUUAUUUUCCACUUUCUGGGUGUCAGAAUGAUAUGAAACUUUAAAUCUAGCCUCAUAAAAAUAACCUUGACAUAUUGCCAGAUUUUCGUAAUUUUCUGACACUCUGAAUUUUCUGCUAAAAAUAUCAGCCCCACUUCUUACAGAAAAUUCUAGAUCUCCUGUUUUCAUUCCGAUUUCAGUACAAGUCAUUCCAGACUUACAUUUUACUUCGUUAAGUCCAAUAAAAAUAGUAUCUCACACUAUUUUUAUUUACACUUACUUUUAUAUUAAAACUCGGUACAUUACAAUCUUGGUGUGCAAAGAAACAACCUAUCGUAUCUCGUUCUAGUACGUAAACUGAAUAUCGCUCUCUCGCC